ACGUACGGCCAUAGAUACCGGAAAGCACGGGAUCCCGUCCGCUCUCCCCUAGUUAAACCAGUAAUCGGCGGAUUAGUAGUUGGGUCGGUGACGACCAGCGAAUACCCUCUGCUGUACGUU
rfam:Ophiostoma piceae TAMH 11346 chromosome Tnknown scf08, whole genome shotgun sequence.